rnacentral:tRNA from 7 species
GGGACGGUAGCUCAGCCUGGGAGAGCACACGGCUGAAGACCGUGGUGUCAUGUGUUCAAAUCACAUCCGUCCCA